rnacentral:tRNA from 1 species
GUUUAAAUAAUUUAAAUUAAAAUAUUACAUUUUCACUGUAAAAAUAGAAAAUUUCUUUUAAAUA